rnacentral:rRNA from 1 species
AGAGUUUGAUCAUGGCUCAGGACGAACGCUGACGGUGUGCUUUAGGCAUGCAAGUCGAACGAGAAAGCCCUUCGGGGUGAGUAAAGUGGCGAACGGGUGAGUAACACGUGGGCAACCUGCCCCUCGCAGGGGGACAACCGGAGGAAACUCCGGCUAAUACCCCGUAAGCUCUACACGCCGCAUGGCGAGUAGAGGAAAGGUAGCUUCGGCCAUCCGGCGAGGGAUGGGCCCGCGGUGCAUUAGCUAGUUGGUGGGGUAACGGCCCACCAAGGCGACGAUGCGUAGCUGGUCUGAGAGGAUGAUCAGCCACACUGGGACUGAGACACGGCCCAGACUCCUACGGGAGGCAGCAGCCAGGAAUCUUGGGCAAUGGGCGAAAGCCUGACCCAGCAACACCGUGUGGGCGAUGAAGGCCUUCGGGUCGUAAAGCCCUGUUGAUAGGGACGAAGGGCGAAGGGUUAAUAGCCCCUAGCUUGACGGUACCUUUCGAGGAAGCCCCGGCUAACUACGUGCCAGCAGCCGCGGUAAUACGUAGGGGGCGAGCGUUGUCCGGAAUUAUUGGGCGUAAAGAGCGUGUAGGCGGUUCGGUAAGUCUGCCGUGAAAACCUGGGGCUCAACCCUGGGCGUGCGGUGGAAACUGCCGGGCUAGAGGAUGGUAGAGGCGAGUGGAAUUCCCGGUGUAGCGGUGAAAUGCGCAGAUAUCGGGAGGAACACCAGUAGCGAAGGCGGCUCGCUGGGCCAUUCCUGACGCUGAGACGCGAAAGCUAGGGGAGCGAACAGGAUUAGAUACCCCCGUAGUCC